rnacentral:rRNA from 1 species
UCGAGCGAGUCUGCCUUGAAGAUCGGAGUGCUUGCACUCUGUGAAACAAGAUACAGGCUAGCGGCGGACGGGUGAGUAACACGUGGGUAACCUGCCCAAGAGAUCGGGAUAACACCUGGAAACAGAUGCUAAUACCGGAUAACAACAGAUGAUGCCUAUCAACUGUUUAAAAGAUGGUUCUGCUAUCACUCUUGGAUGGACCUGCGGUGCAUUAGCUAGUUGGUAGGGUAACGGCCUACCAAGGCGAUGAUGCAUAGCCGAGUUGAGAGACUGAUCGGCCACAUUGGGACUGAGACACGGCCCAAACUCCUACGGGAGGCAGCAGUAGGGAAUCUUCCACAAUGGACGCAAGUCUGAUGGAGCAACGCCGCGUGAGUGAAGAAGGGUUUCGGCUCGUAAAGCUCUGUUGUUGGUGAAGAAGGACAGGGGUAGUAACUGACCUUUGUUUGACGGUAAUCAAUUAGAAAGUCACGGCUAACUACGUGCCAGCAGCCGCGGUAAUACGUAGGUGGCAAGCGUUGACCGGAUUUAUUGGGCGUAAAGCGAGUGCAGGCGGCUCGAUAAGUCUGAUGUGAAAGCCUUCGGCUCAACCGGAGAAUUGCAUCAGAAACUGUCGAGCUUGAGUACAGAAGAGGAGAGUGGAACUCCAUGUGUAGCGGUGAAAUGCGUAGAUAUAUGGAAGAACACCGGUGGCGAAGGCGGCUCUCUGGUCUG